UGGAACCUGCCAGCUUUGUCCGUGGUGACUCAGGCCCUUGGGCCCCCCACCUGCCAGCAGCCCGAGGAUAAGGAGCAGCCCUGCCCCGCCCUGCCCCGGCCUCCCACCCCUGACUUCGCCUGAUAACAAACCAGAAACUGAAACAGAGACAGGAUUCCCGGCUUGAAGUCAGAGAUGAGUCACAGCUGAGAGCAAGUGUGGUAGCUGAGAAGUGGCACCAGAGAAGCAGACGUGAGCCGAGGGCACCAGAGGUGGGCAGCACGUCUGCGGGUCCUGGUGACACAUGGAGAGCGGCACCGAGGUGGUGGCCAUGGACUGCGAGAUGGUGGGGCUGGGGCCCCUAGGGGAGAGCGGCUUGGCUCGUUGCAGCCUCGUGGACCUCCACGGCACCGUGCUCUACGACAAGUUCAUCCGGCCGGAAGGGGAGAUCACUGAUUACAGGACCCCGAUCAGUGGGAUCACACCUUGGCACAUGCAGGAGGCCACGCCAUUUGCCGUGGCCAGGCUGGAGAGUGGCCCCAAUGAUCCUGUGGUCGCCAAGGGAGAGCAUACCAAUGUCCCCCAUGAUGUCUCAGAAGGCCACCAGAAACAGAAGCAGGGCACGGGAGGGUGUCAGCCAGGUGGCAGUCUCCUUCCCCAGGCACAGAAGACAGGCCAGAAGCUAUGGGAGAGCUGUCCAGAGGGGGGCCUGAGCCCCAAGAUGCCCCUCCAGCUGGGGCCCGACACAGCUCCGCCCCAGAGCCCCCGUCCAUCCUUCUCCAGUGACAGCCCAGAUCCUGCGGCUCCUGAAGGGCAAGCUGGUGGUGGGCCACGACCUGAAGCACGACUUCCAGGCGCUGAAGGAGAACAUGAACGACUACUCCGUUCAUGACACGUCGGUGGACAGGCUGCUGUGGCGGGAGGCCGGCCUGCAGGACUGCGAGCGCGUCUCCCUCCGCGUGCUCAGCGAGCGCCUCCUCGGCCGGCGCAUCCAGCCUUGAGAGGCCGUGUGCUUGCCAGCGAGGAGGGGCGCUGGCCUCGGGGUUCCCCAGCAGCCGGCCCUGGACGAGGACCCGAGCGCAGGUUCAUUCCAGAGGUGACCCCGGGACGUGCUGGUGGAGCCCAGCGCCCAAUAUAGGUCUUGUUUGUUUUUAAACUCCAGCCAGUUACUCUGUGGAUAACUGAAGUUUUUUUCUUUAAUGUUGAUUUAUGUUUGAGAGAGAGCCAGUGUGAGCGGGGAAGGGGCAGAGAGAGAGGGGGGUAAGGGACAGAGGAU